UUGAACGCUGGCGGCAGGCCUAACGCCUGCAAGUCGAGCGGAUGAAGGGAGCUUGCUCCUGGAUUCAGCGGCGGACGGGUGAGUAAUGCCUAGGAAUCUGCCUGGUAGUGGGGGAUAACGUCCGGAAACGGGCGCUAAUACCGCAUACGUCCUGAGGGAGAAAGUGGGGGAUCUUCGGACCUCACGCUAUCAGAUGAGCCUAGGUCGGAUUAGCUAGUUGGUGGGGUAAAGGCCUACCAAGGCGACGAUCCGUAACUGGUCUGAGAGGAUGAUCAGUCACACUGGAACUGAGACACGGUCCAGACUCCUACGGGAGGCAGCAGUGGGGAAUAUUGGACAAUGGGCGAAAGCCUGAUCCAGCCAUGCCGCGUGUGUGAAGAAGGUCUUCGGAUUGUAAAGCACUUUAAGUUGGGAGGAAGGGCAGUAAGUUAAUACCUUGCUGUUUUGACGUUACCAACAGAAUAAGCACCGGCUAACUUCGUG
rnacentral:rRNA from 1 species